rnacentral:SRP_RNA from 1 species
GCUAUUCCCAAUGGCGGUGGGCCGGUGUGAACCGGGUCAGGACGUAAUUGUAGCAGCCCUAAGCAUUUGUGUUCAGGUGCUUGCGGGAAUAGCGUU